rnacentral:lncRNA from 1 species
UCAUCUCAAAUUAAUAUUAAUAAAGCCACAAAUUAUCUUAAAUGCUACAUUUUACAUAAAUACUUCGGUCUGCCAGAAAAACUAGGCGAGACCCGAAGCUCAGAAAAAUUUACAACUGAUACAUUUACUAUUACUACUGCGGAGAAUCUAAGAUUUACCAUUUUACAUACCAAAUCAAAUACUUCACCCGAUGAUGAAGGAGUCGGGUUACUGAAUAAGAGUCGCGAGAGAACUAACAGUCACGAAUCUGAAAAACAAUAAAUGGAGACUGUCAGUCUCGAGAGUGAGUUAAAAUCAUACAUCUAAAACAGUUUCAAAUAUCUCAAUGUCACAUUCAUUUAAUUUUAAAAUAAUUAAUAAAUCACGCGAACCAUACGUGUCAUGUUAAAACAUAUGUGUCAUGCCAUGCUUAAACAAAAUUUAUUCCACAUGCAACGGGACAGAGUACUUCAGUAGAACUCUAAUCCCAACUCUAAAAUCUCGAUUAUUUCAACACUUAUGUCUCAACUAACCUCAACUCUAUCAUCUCAAACCUCUCAUUCCAACAGGACUGGCGCCCAGAGAGCAAAGCUCGACCAGGGACCUUACCUCCAGUCCGGUCACUUAACUCUCAGCCUUAGCCUUUUGGCUCUCUUAUCCAAUAAGACUGGCGCCCCGAGAGCAAAGCUCGACCAGGGACCUUACCUCCAGUCUGGUCACUUAAGUAUCCAAAUAAGAAAUCUAAUAGCCAUUCGACUCUCUUAAUCCAAUAAGACUGGCGCCCCGAGAGCAAAGCUCGACCAGGGACCUUACCUCCAGUCUGGUCACUUAAAUAUCCAAAUAAGCCGGCGCCCCGAGAGCAAUGCUCGACCAGGGACCUUUACUCCGGCAACCACACUCUACUAAGCCCAGAGAGCGAUGCUCGACCAGGGCAGGUCCUAAUCUUUCUUUCUUAAAAUUUUUACCCUUUUUCUAUCUCUCUCAUAUUAUAUUGGACACUCAUCCAACUCCUAUGUUCUACUGCCGUCCCAUCCUGAGUCAUCAUGCAAUAUUAAAAUUGGUAAUAAAGGAAAAACAUAUUUAAAUAGUAAUUAAAAGCAUCAUUCAAAUGAUAAUAAUAAUAAUUGAAUGAAAAAUUGAAAUUGCAAAUAAAUAUUCACAGUAGCAAAUCAAAUUUUAUGCAUGACACGUGCGUAAACGAUAUAUGACUUUAACUCACAGAAUUAGGCGACCUCCUAGCUCAGCUUAGGU